GAUAUGGCUCAGGAUGAACGCUAGCUACAGGCUUAACACAUGCAAGUCGAGGGGCAGCAUGUCGGUUGCUUGCAACCGAUGAUGGCGACCGGCGCACGGGUGAGUAACGCGUAUCCAACCUACCCUUGUCCAUCGGAUAACCCGUCGAAAGGCAGCCUAACACGAUAUGCGGUUCACAGCAGGCAUCUAAGGCGAACGAAAUGUGAAGGAGAAGGAUGGGGAUGCGU
rnacentral:rRNA from 1 species